rnacentral:rRNA from 1 species
UACGUAGGGUGCGAGCGUUAAUCGGAAUUACUGGGCGUAAAGGGUGCGCAGGCGGUUCUGCAAGUCAGGCGUGAAAUCCCCGGGCUUAACCUGGGAAUGGCGCUUGAAACUACGGGACUGGAGUAUGGCAGAGGGAGGUGAAAUUCCACGUGUAGCGGUGAAAUGCGUAGAGAUGUGGAGGAACACCGAUGGCGAAGGCAGCCUCCUGGGCCAAUACUGACGCUGAGACGCGAAAGCGUGGGGAGCGAACAGG